AACCUAUGGUGAGGGCACUGACUAGUGUAGCUCCUGAGUCUUUCUCAGGCUUUACCAAAUGUCUCAUUGUUGUGUUGGGUGAAGGAAGAGAUCUGAUUCCUGAGCGU
rnacentral:snoRNA from 1 species